rnacentral:rRNA from 1 species
CCCCCUUCCAGUAUCCAGUAGUGGGUAUUCACUUACUUACUAUUGUGUGUUGGUCGUUUACUGUGAGAAAAUUAGAGUGUUCAAAGCAGGCGUUUGCUUGAAUAGAUUAGCAUGGAAUAAUAAUUAGAAGGCUUUCGUGUUCGAUUUGAUUGGUUUGUUCAUGGAAGCAAGGUUAAAAGGAACAGUUGGGGGUAUUCAUAUUCACUAGUUAGAGGUGAAAUUCUCGGAUUUAUGGAAGAUGAACAAGUGCGAAAGCAUUUACCAAGGAUGUUUUCAUUAAUCAAG